UUGUGCUAGUUUGGCAACAAAAAUACUAAAAUCGGAAUUAUACAGAGAAGAUUAGCAUAGCCUCUGCACCAGGAUAACACACAAAAUUGUGAAGCAUUCCAUUAAAAA
ensembl:snRNA U6 U6 spliceosomal RNA